UUUUCGCGAAUUGGUUUCUAA
ensembl:piRNA 21ur-5821 ncRNA